rnacentral:rRNA from 1 species
GACGAACGCUGGCGGCGUGCUUAACACAUGCAAGUCGAACGGAAAGGCCCUGCUUUUGUGGGGUGCUCGAGUGGCGAACGGGUGAGUAACACGUGAGUAACCUGUCCUUGACUUUGGGAUAACUUCAGGAAACUGGGGCUAAUACCGGAUAGGAGCUCCUGCUGCAUGGUGGGGGUUGGAAAGUUUCGGCGGUUGGGGAUGGACUCGCGGCUUAUCAGCUUGUUGGUGGGGUAGUGGCUUACCAAGGCUUUGACGGGUAGCCGGCCUGAGAGGGUGACCGGCCACAUUGGGACUGAGAUACGGCCCAGCCUCCUACGGGAGGCAGCAGUGGGGAAUAUUGCACAAUGGGCGGAAGCCUGAUGCAGCAACGCCGCGUGCGGGAUGACGGCCUUCGGGUUGUAAACCGCUUUCGCCUGUGACGAAGCGUGAGUGACGGUAAUGGGUAAAGAAGCACCGGCUAACUACGUG